GGUUAAGCGACUAAGCGUACACGGUGGAUGCCCUGGCAGUCAGAGGCGAUGAAGGACGUGCUAAUCUGCGAUAAGCGUCGGUAAGGUGAUAUGAACCGUUAUAACCGGCGAUUUCCGAAUGGGGAAACCCAGUGUGAUUCGUCACACUAUCAUUAACUGAAUCCAUAGGUUAAUGAGGCGAACCGGGGGAACUGAAACAUCUAAGUACCCCGAGGAAAAGAAAUCAACCGAGAUUCCCCCAGUAGCGGCGAGCGAACGGGGAGCAGCCCAGAGCCUGAAUCAGUGUGUGUGUUAGUGGAAGCGUCUGGAAAGGCGCGCGAUACAGGGUGACAGCCCCGUACACAAAAAUGCACAUACUGUGAGCUCGAUGAGUAGGGCGGGACACGUGGUAUCCUGUCUGAAUAUGGGGGGACCAUCCUCCAAGGCUAAAUACUCCUGACUGACCGAUAGUGAACCAGUACCGUGAGGGAAAGGCGAAAAGAACCCCGGCGAGGGGAGUGAAAAAGAACCUGAAACCGUGUACGUACAAGCAGUGGGAGCACGCUUCGGCGUGUGACUGCGUACCUUUUGUAUAAUGGGUCAGCGACUUAUAUUCUGUAGCAAGGUUAACCGAAUAGGGGAGCCGAAGGGAAACCGAGUCUUAACUGGGCGUUAAGUUGCAGGGUAUAGACCCGAAACCCGGUGAUCUAGCCAUGGGCAGGUUGAAGGUUGGGUAACACUAACUGGAGGACCGAACCGACUAAUGUUGAAAAAUUAGCGGAUGACUUGUGGCUGGGGGUGAAAGGCCAAUCAAACCGGGAGAUAGCUGGUUCUCCCCGAAAGCUAUUUAGGUAGCGCCUCGUGAAUUCAUCUCCGGGGGUAGAGCACUGUUUCGGCAAGGGGGUCAUCCCGACUUACCAACCCGAUGCAAACUGCGAAUACCGGAGAAUGUUAUCACGGGAGACACACGGCGGGUGCUAACGUCCGUCGUGAAGAGGGAAACAACCCAGACCGCCAGCUAAGGUCCCAAAGUCAUGGUUAAGUGGGAAACGAUGUGGGAAGGCCCAGACAGCCAGGAUGUUGGCUUAGAAGCAGCCAUCAUUUAAAGAAAGCGUAAUAGCUCACUGGUCGAGUCGGCCUGCGCGGAAGAUGUAACGGGGCUAAACCAUGCACCGAAGCUGCGGCAGCGACACUAUGUGUUGUUGGGUAGGGGAGCGUUCUGUAAGCCUGCGAAGGUGUACUGUGAGGUAUGCUGGAGGUAUCAGAAGUGCGAAUGCUGACAUAAGUAACGAUAAAGCGGGUGAAAAGCCCGCUCGCCGGAAGACCAAGGGUUCCUGUCCAACGUUAAUCGGGGCAGGGUGAGUCGACCCCUAAGGCGAGGCCGAAAGGCGUAGUCGAUGGGAAACAGGUUAAUAUUCCUGUACUUGGUGUUACUGCGAAGGGGGGACGGAGAAGGCUAUGUUGGCCGGGCGACGGUUGUCCCGGUUUAAGCGUGUAGGCUGGUUUUCCAGGCAAAUCCGGAAAAUCAAGGCUGAGGCGUGAUGACGAGGCACUACGGUGCUGAAGCAACAAAUGCCCUGCUUCCAGGAAAAGCCUCUAAGCAUCAGGUAACAUCAAAUCGUACCCCAAACCGACACAGGUGGUCAGGUAGAGAAUACCAAGGCGCUUGAGAGAACUCGGGUGAAGGAACUAGGCAAAAUGGUGCCGUAACUUCGGGAGAAGGCACGCUGAUAUGUAGGUGAAGUCCCUCGCGGAUGGAGCUGAAAUCAGUCGAAGAUACCAGCUGGCUGCAACUGUUUAUUAAAAACACAGCACUGUGCAAACACGAAAGUGGACGUAUACGGUGUGACGCCUGCCCGGUGCCGGAAGGUUAAUUGAUGGGGUUAGCGGUAACGCGAAGCUCUUGAUCGAAGCCCCGGUAAACGGCGGCCGUAACUAUAACGGUCCUAAGGUAGCGAAAUUCCUUGUCGGGUAAGUUCCGACCUGCACGAAUGGCGUAAUGAUGGCCAGGCUGUCUCCACCCGAGACUCAGUGAAAUUGAACUCGCUGUGAAGAUGCAGUGUACCCGCGGCAAGACGGAAAGACCCCGUGAACCUUUACUAUAGCUUGACACUGAACAUUGAGCCUUGAUGUGUAGGAUAGGUGGGAGGCUUUGAAGUGUGGACGCCAGUCUGCAUGGAGCCGACCUUGAAAUACCACCCUUUAAUGUUUGAUGUUCUAACGUUGGCCCCUGAUCGGGGUUGCGGACAGUGUCUGGUGGGUAGUUUGACUGGGGCGGUCUCCUCCUAAAGAGUAACGGAGGAGCACGAAGGUUGGCUAAUCCUGGUCGGACAUCAGGAGGUUAGUGCAAUGGCAUAAGCCAGCUUGACUGCGAGCGUGACGGCGCGAGCAGGUGCGAAAGCAGGUCAUAGUGAUCCGGUGGUUCUGAAUGGAAGGGCCAUCGCUCAACGGAUAAAAGGUACUCCGGGGAUAACAGGCUGAUACCGCCCAAGAGUUCAUAUCGACGGCGGUGUUUGGCACCUCGAUGUCGGCUCAUCACAUCCUGGGGCUGAAGUAGGUCCCAAGGGUAUGGCUGUUCGCCAUUUAAAGUGGUACGCGAGCUGGGUUUAGAACGUCGUGAGACAGUUCGGUCCCUAUCUGCCGUGGGCGCUGGAGAACUGAGGGGGGCUGCUCCUAGUACGAGAGGACCGGAGUGGACGCAUCACUGGUGUUCGGGUUGUCAUGCCAAUGGCACUGCCCGGUAGCUAAAUGCGGAAGAGAUAAGUGCUGAAAGCAUCUAAGCACGAAACUUGCCCCGAGAUGAGUUCUCCCUGACCCUUUAAGGGUCCUGAAGGAACGUUGAAGACGACGACGUUGAUAGGCCGGGUGUGUAAGCGCAGCGAUGCGUUGAGCUAACCGGUACUAAUGAACCGUGAGGCUUAACCUU
rnacentral:rRNA from 1 species